rnacentral:rRNA from 1 species
GAUCCUGGCUCAGAAUCAACGCUGGCGGCGUGCCUAACACAUGCAAGUCGAACGAGAAAGUGGAGCAAUCCAUGAGUAAAGUGGCGCACGGGUGAGUAACACGUGACUAACCUACCUUUUAGUGGGGGAUAACCUAGGGAAACCUGGGCUAAUACCGCAUAACACUUACGAGUCAAAGCAGCAAUGCGCUGAAAGAGGGGGUCGCGGCCGAUUAGUUAGUUGGCGGGGUAAUGGCCCACCAAGGCAGUGAUCGGUAUCCGGCCUGAGAGGGCGCACGGACACACUGGAACUGAAACACGGUCCAGACUCCUACGGGAGGCAGCAG